rnacentral:rRNA from 1 species
CACGGACCGCACGAACGUUAUUCGGAAUCACUGGGCUUAAAGGGUGCGUAGGCGGCUUGGCAAGUUGGGUGUGAAAGCCCUCGGCUCAACCGAGGAAUUGCGCUCAAUACUGCCGAGCUCGAGAGAGACAGAGGUAAGCGGAACUAAUGGUGGAGCGGUGAAAUGCGUUGAUAUCAUUAGGAACACCGGUGGCGAAGGCGGCUUACUGGGUCUUGUCUGACGCUGAGGCACGAAAGCCAGGGGAGCGAACGGG